UCGGCCCUACGGGACGCAGCAGUGGGGAAUAUUGCACAAUGGGGGAAACCCUGAUGCAGCGACGCCGCGUGAGUGAAGAAGUAAUUCGUUAUGUAAAGCUCUAUCAGCAGGGAAGAAAAUGACGGUACCUGAGUAAGAAGCCCCGGCUAACUACGUGCCAGCAGCCGCGGUAAUACGUAGGGGGCAAGCGUUAUCCGGAUUUACUGGGUGUAAAGGGAGCGUAGACGGCCAGACAAGUCUGAAGUGAAAAUCCAGCGCUUAACGUUGGAAGUGCUUUGGAAACUGCCGGGCUAGAGUGCAGGAGG
rnacentral:rRNA from 1 species